UAGGGUCACUCUUUAAAAGUGCAGAGUUGCAAGUAAAAAGAAACGUAGUUUUGUCCCUGAGCAAGAAUGACACGCAAAUUCAUGAAGUGUUCCAUAUUUUA
ensembl:snRNA RNU6-677P RNA, U6 small nuclear 677, pseudogene